rnacentral:lncRNA from 1 species
GGGCCGAGUAGGGAUAGGAGAUCUGACGAGAGGGGGCCUGGGGCAGGAAGGAGGAGACCGUGGAGAACUCGGGCAUGUAGUAAGUGCAACUGGGCAGAUAGAGGUUGGAGGCGCAGCUCCCUCGCUCGCCGAAAUCUGCGCCCCUCUCCUUGCGCGACGGAGAGCAGAAGUUGCCCAGGUUGACCGAGUUAAACAUCGUUCUCCUCUCCUGCCGGCUCCGGAUGGAGGUUUUGGACCCGGUCUAGCGAGGGGGGAAAAUUUGGGAAGGCGAGAUGACGCGUUAUCCGUCUUAGUCUCUCUCUCUCUGAGCACGUGAUCCAAAGUAGAUAUUGUCAUAUAUCAGUUCGGAGCACUUCGCAGACGUAGGAGGGGUUCUCUCUUAGAGACACCGCCUGUUCACAAGAGUUUGAAGAAGUCCACUCUUUUCCUGGCCAGAGCUGGGUGUCAAGACUACCUUUCUGGAGUCCUUAGAGAGACUCCCGGAAGAGUAUCUGAAGUUUCCCAAAGCCUCCAGGCCCUGCCUUCUGCCUGCACAUUCUGCCCUGAUUUCCGGAACCUGGAAGCCUAGGCAGGCAGUGGGGAACUCUGACUCGCCUGUGCUCUGGAGCUUGAUCCGAAAGCUUCCACAGUGAGGACUGCUCCGUGGGGGUAAGAGAGCACCAGGCACUGAGGCCUGGGAGUUCCACAGACCAACACCCCUGCUCCUGGCGGCUCCCACCCGGGACUUAGACCCUCAGGUCCCUAAUAUCCCGGAGGUGCUCUCAAUCAGAAAGGUCCUGCUCCGCUUCGCAGUGGAAUGGAACGGAUUUAGAAGCCUGCAGUAGGGGAGUGGGGAGUGGAGAGAGGGAGCCCAGAGUUACAGACGGCGGCGAGAGGAAGGAGGGGCGUCUUUAUUUUUUUAAGGCCCCAAAGAGUCUGAUGUUUACAAGACCAGAAAUGCCACGGCCGCGUCCUGGCAGAGAAAAGGCUGAAAUGGAGGACCGGCGCCUUCCUUAUAAGCUCGUUGGGGCCUAAGCCAGUACCGACCUGGUAGAAAAAGCAACCACGAAGCUAGAGAGAGAGCCAGAGGAGGGAAGAGAGCGCCAGACGAAGGUGAAAGCGAACCACGCAGAGAAAUGCAGGCAAGGGAGCAAGGCGGCAGUUCCCGGAACAAACGUGGCAGAGGGCAAGACGGGCACUCACAGACAGAGGUUUAUGUAUUUUUAUUUUUUAAAAUCUGAUUUGGUGUUCCAU